GACGAACGCUGGCGGCGUGCCUAAUACAUGCAAGUCGAACGAGAGCGACCGGUGCUUGCACUGGUCAAUCUAGUGGCGAACGGGUGAGUAACACGUGGGUAACCUGCUCAUCAGAGGGGGAUAACAUCCGGAAACGGAUGCUAAAACCGCAUAGGUCUUCGAGCCGCAUGGCUUGAAGAGGAAAAGAGGCGCACGCUUCUGCUGAUGGAUGGACCCGCGGUGCAUUAGCUAGUUGGUGAGGUAACGGCUCACCAAGGCCGUGAUGCAUAGCCGACCUGAGAGGGUGAUCGGCCACAUUGGGACUGAGACACGGCCCAAACUCCUACGGGAGGCAGCAGUAGGGAAUCUUCCGCAAUGGACGCAAGUCUGACGGAGCAACGCCGCGUGAGUGAAGAAGGUUUUCGGAUCGUAAAACUCUGUUGUUAGAGAAGAACAAGUGCUAGAGUAACUGUUAGCGCCUUGACGGUAUCUAACCAGAAAGCCACGGCUAACUACGUG
rnacentral:rRNA from 1 species